rnacentral:rRNA from 1 species
UACGUAGGGGGCUAGCGUUGUCCGGAUUUAUUGGGCGUAAAGAGCGUGUAGGCGGCCACACAGGUCCGCUGUGAAAACUCGAGGCUCAACCUCGAGCUGUCGGUGGAAACCGUGUGGCUAGAGUCCGGAAGAGGAGACUGGAAUUCCCGGUGUAGCGGUGGAAUGCGCAGAUAUCGGGAGGAACACCCGUGGCGAAGGCGGGUCUCUGGGACGGUACUGACGCUGAGACGCGAAAGCGUGGGGAGCGAACAGG